AGCAAAUUCAUCAACAAAGUCGCAGUUAAGGAGAUUACGCGUCAUUAAAUUCAGUUCAUAUAUUUUUUAUUAAAAAGAUACGCAGAAUUUUCAGAUCAGAUAAAUAUUAAAUAAAAAUAACCUGAAUAAUCAAGGUCAAACACGUGCAACAAAUAAACAGAGUAGACUGCUUGAAUUCAAUGUUGUCAUUAAUAAAGGAGGACAAAUCAUCACCCAGUUCAACAACUGCAGCUAAAAUACUUUGAAGCUAGAGAUUUAACGAGAAUGUAGGGGACAGGAAAUCAUACUGGUCAAACCGAGUCUUUACAACUCCAGAAGCAUUUUUGGGUUUUGAUAAACCUGUCACAACAGAUGUCCAAUUGCUGUCAUGGUUUCACCGAGUAUCCAGCAAAAACAACGUGUUAGUAUAUUCAGAGCCGCAAUCAGUGCUCGUGAUUCCAGAAUAACCACAGGGAGUCAAGGUCAAGAUUCAAGUCACCAAUGUUCUAUCAUUGGCGAUUAGAUGUCAACAUGUGUUUGAUAGAAGUGCCAUAGUAACCGACACUAAUCUCCGAGACGUAUUCUCCAACGCAGAAUGGCAGGAAGCAGUGAAAAGGAUGGUAGUAAAUUUGACACCUAAAAGUCAACGCACAGUGGCGCUCAAACCAUCGAAACCAGGUUAACGCCUAUACCAAAACCAGGGUGUUUAAAAUGCAAAGCCAAGGACCACACCUAGCGUAACUGCCUGAACGAGUUCCAGGGAGACCAUUAUUGCACCAAUUUUCGACGUCGGGGGCACACAAACAAUUCAUGCCCAUACCAGUCGUGGCGCACAGAAGGGUACCACACUAUUUGUUUUAACAAACAAUAGUGUUAAAUUAAUCACCAGUGUUCUAGUAAGAUUUUUUUUA